rnacentral:rRNA from 1 species
CAGCAGCCACGGUAAUACGAAGGUCCCGAGCGUUGUUCGGAAUCACUGGGCGUAAAGGGAGCGUAGGCGGCGUGGUAAGUCAGAUGUGAGAUCCCGGGGCUCAACCCCGGAACUGCAUCCGAUACUGCCGUGCUAGAGGAUUGGAGAGGUAGCUGGAAUUCUCGGUGUAGCAGUGAAAUGCGUGGAGAUCAAGAGGAACACUCGUGGCGAAAGCGAGCUACUGGACAAUAUCUGACGCUGAGGCUCGAAGGCCAGGGUAGCGAAAGGGAUUAGAUACCCCCGUAGUCCCUGUCUCUUAUAC